ACCCAAAAUUCCUUACAUUUAAUCCCUUAGGUGCAAACGUGUCCAAAUUAUAUGCCCAAAAUGCCUCUCUUUGCACCUAAGGGAUUAAAUGUAAGGGAUUUUGGGUAAUUUAU